rnacentral:rRNA from 1 species
AUACGGAGGGUGCAAGCGUUAAUCGGAAUAACUGGGCGUAAAGGGCAUGCAGGCGGUUAUACAAGUAGGAUGUGAAAGCCUGGGGCUCAACCUCAGAACUGCAUUCUAAACUGUGUGACUAGAGUAUUGCAGGGGGAGACGGAAUUUCAGGUGUAGCGGUGGAAUGCGUAGAUAUCUGAAAGAACACCAAAGGCGAAGGCAGUCUCCUGGGCAAAUACUGACGCUCAUAUGCGAAAGCGUGGGUAGC